AGGAGGAGGCUACCGAGAUUAAUACUCUUGGAUAGUGGACGUUACUCGCAGAAUAAGCACCGGCUAACUCUGUGCCAGCAGCCGCGGUAAUACAGAGGGUGCAAGCGUUAAUCGGAUUUACUGGGCGUAAAGCGCGCGUAGGUGGCCAAUUAAGUCAAAUGUGAAAUCCCCGAGCUUAACUUGGGAAUUGCAUUCGAUACUGGUUGGCUAGAGUAUGGGAGAGGAUGGUAGAAUUCCAGGUGUAGCGGUGAAAUGCGUAGAGAUCUGGAGGAAUACCGAUGGCGAAGGCAGCCAUCUGGCCUAAUACUGACACUGAGGUGCGAAAGCAUGGGGAGCAAACAGGAUUAGAUACCCUGGUAGUCCAUGCCGUAAACGAUGUCUACUAGCCGUUGGGGCCUUUGAGGCUUUAGUGGCGCAGCUAACGCGAUAAGUAGACCGCCUGGGGAGUACGGUCGCAAGACUAAAACUCAAAUGAAUUGACGGGGGCCCGCACAAGCGGUGGAGCAUGUGGUUUAAUUCGAUGCAACGCGAAGAACCUUACCUGGUCUUGACAUAGUAAGAACUUUCCAGAGAUGGAUUGGUGCCUUCGGGAACUUACAUACAGGUGCUGCAUGGCUGUCGUCAGCUCGUGUCGUGAGAUGUUGGGUUAAGUCCCGCAACGAGCGCAACCCUUUUCCUUAUUUGCCAGCGGGUUAAGCCGGGAACUUUAAGGAUACUGCCAGUGACAAACUGGAGGAAGGCGGGGACGACGUCAAGUCAUCAUGGCCCUUACGACCAGGGCUACACACGUGCUACAAUGGUCGGUACAAAGGGUUGCUACCUCGCGAGAGGAUGCUAAUCUCAAAAAGCCGAUCGUAGUCCGGAUUGGAGUCUGCAACUCGACUCCAUGAAGUCGGAAUCGCUAGU
rnacentral:rRNA from 1 species